CAAUAGAUAUCCUUGAGAUAGUGAUACAUCUUUGUUGAGCAUGGGUGAGCUGAAUACCUGGAAUGAUGAGCCUUCGCCCUUACCCUCUCCCGAAGAUUACCCACAUCUGGGACACAUAACCUUUCGUGGCACUGUAGCACACCACCAUUGCUUCCGAGUGAAAAUGCUAAAAUUUUGUUACCUAGAGGUGCCUCCUUCAAUUGUGCCAGUGCUGGAUCAAUAAACUGCUUUUCUUUAACCUCUGCCACAAACGACGAUUCUGCUGUAUUGUGCACCAUAAGUUCCUCCUCAUUCGAGGCCUAGAUACAAACCCCAAGGUUGGCUAACUGAUGUACCUCCCGAGCUAGGAACCUCUGAUCCCCUCUCAAGUGAGCCAAACUACCCAUGGAUUUCCGACUGAGGGCGUCGGCCAUCACGUUCGCCUUCCAUGGAUGCUACAAGAUGUCCAUAUUCCUUAAGCAAUUCUAACCAUCUCCGCUGCCUCAAA
rnacentral:lncRNA from 1 species